rnacentral:rRNA from 1 species
UACAGAGGUGGCAAGCGUUGUCCGGAUUCAUUGGGCGUAAAGAGCUCGUAGGCGGUUCGAUAAGUCGGGUGUGAAACCUCCAGGCUCAACCUGGAGACGCCACCCGAUACUGUCGUGACUAGAGUCCAGUAGGGGAGCGUGGAAUUCCUGGUGUAGCGGUGAAAUGCGCAGAUAUCAGGAGGAACACCAGCGGCGAAGGCGGCGCUCUGGGCUGGAACUGACGCUGAGGCACGAAAGCGUGGGGAUCAAACAGG